rnacentral:rRNA from 1 species
AUUGAACGCUGGCGGAAUGCUUUACGCAUGCAAGUCGAACGGUAGAGGGGCAACCCUUGAGAGUGGCGAACGGGUGAGUAAUGUAUCGGAACAUGCCCAGUCGUGGGGGAUAACGUAGCGAAAGUUACGCUAAUACCGCAUACGAUCUAUGGAUGAAAGCGGGGGAUCGCAAGACCUCGCGCGAUUGGAGUGGCCGAUAUCAGAUUAGGUAGUUGGUGGGGUAAAGGCCUACCAAGCCGACGAUCUGUAGCUGGUCUGAGAGGACGACCAGUCACACGGGGACUGAGACACGGCCCAGACUCCUACGGGAGGAAGCAGUGGGGAAUUUUGGACAAUGGGCGAAAGCCUGAUCCAGCCAUUCCGCGUGCAGGAAGAAGGCCUUCGGGUUGUAAACUGCUUUUGUACGGAACGAAACGCGCUGUGCUAAUACCACGGCGUAAUGACGGUACCGUAAGAAUAAGCACCGGCUAACUACGUGCCAGCAGCCGCCGUAA